GACAUCUUGGACCAAUUGAUUUUUGGAGCGUGGGAUUUCUCCAGUUAAGGGCUUAUUCGUGGCAACCUUGACCUAGGGACUUUGCUACUUGGAAAGCGUGAUUUUGCUGUUAGAACUUGUUUGAGCAAAUCUCCAGACAGGGGUAGAGGUAAGGGCAAAGGCAAGCUGGCAAGCGACUAGAAGUGACCGUGGCGAGUCAUAGGGAUCUUUUGCUUCCGCUUUAUGUCAUAGUUUAAACUUUAAUGUUUGCAUUUUAGUUUAUAUUUUAUUUUAUUUCUUUAAAAUUAGAUAGGGCCUGAG